GUCUACGGCCAUGCCACCCUGAACAAGCUGGAUCCCGUCUGAUCUCGGAAGCUAAGGAGGAUCGGGCCUGGUUAGCACUUGAAUGGGAGACCACCUAGGAAGACCAGGUGCUGUAGGCA
rnacentral:rRNA from 1 species